UACGGGGGGGCAAGCGUUGUUCGGAAUUACUGGGCGUAAAGGGCUCGUAGGCGGCCAACUAAGUCAGACGUGAAAUCCCUCGGCUUAACCGGGGAACUGCGUCUGAUACUGGAUGGCUUGAAUCCGGGAGAGGGAUGCGGAAUUCCAGGUGUAGCGGUGAAAUGCGUAGAUAAUCUGGAGGAACACCGGUGGCGAAGGCGGCAGUCCUGGACCGGCAUUGGACGCUGAGGAGCGAAAGCCAGGGGAGCG
rnacentral:rRNA from 1 species